rnacentral:rRNA from 2 species
GCAUGGAGCCGACCUUGAAAUACCACCCUUUAAUGUUUGAUGUUCUAACGUGGACCCGUGAUCCGGGUUGCGGACAGUGUCUGGUGGGUAGUUUGACUGGGGCGGUCUCCUCCUAAAGAGUAACGGAGGAGCACGAAGGUUGGCUAAUCCUGGUCGGACAUCAGGAGGUUAGUGCAAUGGCAUAAGCCAGCUUGACUGCGAGCGUGACGGCGCGAGCAGGUGCGAAAGCAGGUCAUAGUGAUCCGGUGGUUCUGAAUGGAAGGGCCAUCGCUCAACGGAUAAAAGGUACUCCGGGGAUAACAGGCUGAUACCGCCCAAGAGUUCAUAUCGACGGCGGUGUUUGGCACCUCGAUGUCGGCUCAUCACAUCCUGGGGCUGAAGUAGGUCCCAAGGGUAUGGCUGUUCGCCAUUUAAAGUGGUACGCGAGCUGGGUUUAGAACGUCGUGAGACAGUUCGGUCCCUAUCUGCCGUGGGCGCUGGAGAACUGAGGGGGGCUGCUCCUAGUACGAGAGGACCGGAGUGGACGCAUCACUGGUGUUCGGGUUGUCAUGCCAAUGGCACUGCCCGGUAGCUAAAUGCGGAAGAGAUAAGUGCUGAAAGCAUCUAAGCACGAAACUUGCCCCGA